AACGCACAUUGCGCCCCGUGGUAUUCCGCGGGGCAUGCCUGUUCGAGCGUCAUUUCAACCUUCAAGCUCUGCUUGGUAUCGGGCUCAACCAUAUGGUGGGCCUUAGAAACAGUGGCGGUGCUGCCUGGCACUAAGCGUAGUAAAACUUCUCGCUAUAGUUGUUAGACAGUGCUAAGCUAAGCUCUACUCUCUAUAUUUGACCUCGGAUCAGGUAGGGAUACCCGCUGAACUUAA
rnacentral:misc_RNA from 1 species